rnacentral:rRNA from 1 species
CCCUGAUGUUAGCGCGCGGACGGGUGAGUAACACGUGGGUAACCUGCCUGUAAGACUGGGAUAACUCCGGGAAACCGGGGCUAAUACCGGAUGCUUGUUUGAACCGCAUGGUUCAAACAUAAAAGGUGGCUUCGGCUACCACUUACAGAUGGACCCGCGGCGCAUUAGCUAGUUGGUGAGGUAAUGGCUCACCAAGGCGACGAUGCGUAGCCGACCUGAGAGGGUGAUCGGCCACACUGGGACUGAGACACGGCCCAGACUCCUACGGGAGGCAGCAGUAGGGAAUCUUCCGCAAUGGACGAAAGUCUGACGGAGCAACGCCGCGUGAGUGAUGAAGGUUUUCGGAUCGUAAAGCUCUGUUGUUAGGGAAGAACAAGUACCGUUCGAAUAGGGCGGUACCUUGACGGUACCUAACCAGAAAGCCACGGCUAACUACGUGCCAGCAGCCGCGGUAAUACGUAGGUGGCAAGCGUUGUCCGGAAUUAUUGGGCGUAAAGGGCUCGCAGGCGGUUUCUUAAGUCUGAUGUGAAAGCCCCCGGCUCAACCGGGGAGGGUCAUUGGAAACUGGGGAACUUGAGUGCAGAAGAGGAGAGUGGAAUUCCACGUGUAGCGGUGAAAUGCGUAGAGAUGUGGAGGAACACCAGUGGCGAAGGCGACUCUCUGGUCUGUAACUGACGCUGAGGAGCGAAAGCGUGGGGAGCGAACAGGAUUAGAUACCCUGGUAGUCCACGCCGUAAACGAUGAGUGCUAAGUGUUAGGGGUUUCCGCCCCUUAGUGCUGCAGCUAACGCAUUAAGCACUCCGCCUGGGGAGUACGGUCGCAAGACUGAAACUCAAAGGAAUG